rnacentral:rRNA from 1 species
AGAGUUUGAUCCUGGCUCAGAACAAACGCUGGCGGCGUGUCUUAAGCAUGCAAGUUGAGCGGCAAGGAGGAGAGAUCCUCCCUAGAGCGGCGGACUGGUGAGUAACGCGUGGGUAAUCUAUCGUAGGCAUGGGGAUAGUCACUAGAAAUAGUGGGUAAUACCGAAUACGUUCCAUGAGGGGAGUACUUAUGGAAGAAAGGGUGCUACGGCACUGGCCUUAGGUGAGCUCGCGUCCCAUUAGCUAGUUGGUGAGGUAAAGGCCCACCAAGGCGAUGAUGGGUAGCCGGCCUGAGAGGGUGUACGGCCACACUGGGACUGAGAUACGGCCCAGACUCCUACGGGAGGCAGCAGCUAAGAAUAUUCCGCAAUGGACGAAAGUCUGACGGAGCGACGCCGCGUGGAUGAAGAAGGCCGAAAGGUUGUAAAGUUCUUUUGCUAGGGGAGAAUAAGUGAGGGAGGGAAUGCCCUCAUGAUGACAAGGACUAGCGAAUAAGCCCCGGCCAACUACGUGCCAGCAGCCGCGGUAACACGUAGGGGGCGAGCGUUGUUCGGAAUUACUGGGCGUAAAGGGCAUGUAGGCGGCUUGGUAAGCCUGGCGUGAAAGACUGCAGCUUAACUGUAGGGAUGCGUUGGGAACUGCUUAGCUUGAGUUACGGAGAGGGAGCUGGAAUUCCUGGUGUAGGGGUGAAAUCUGUAGAUAUCAGGAAGAACACCGAUGGCGAAGGCAAGCUUCUGGUCGAUAACUGACGCUGAGGUGCGAAAGUGUGGGGAUCAAACAGGAUUAGAUACCCUGGUAGUCCACACUGUAAACGAUGUGCACGAGGUGCUGGGGCGGUAGUUUCAGUGCCGGAGCGAACGCGGUAAGUGCACCGCCUGGGGAGUAUGCUCGCAAGGGUGAAACUCAAAGGAAUUGACGGGGGCCCGCACAAGCGGUGGAGCAUGUGGUUUAAUUCGAUGGUACACGAGGAACCUUACCUGGGUUUGACAUACGGAGGGAAGUGGCAGCGAUGUCACUGCGUAGAGAUACGGCUCCGUACAGGUGCUGCAUGGCUGUCGUCAGCUCGUGCCGUGAGGUGUUGGGUUAAGUCCC